UGCAAGAGACUGAAAACAUCCUUCAAAUCUAUCCGGUUUAGGGACUCUAAAUUUUCCUGGGAGAUGUAGCGUCGUCCGUUGACCGGAAGCCCGAUCUAAUACUUCCUCUUAGGACGAUACAAAACAGAACAAUGCAGGAGGGAAGCUUCAAAGACGAUUUAGAUAUUCACAUCCUGUUACUCAAAAUUUCCCGUAUUCCACCCACCCUCAACAGAUUUUACAAGCAAUGUCUACUAUUGAAAUGGACAACACGUCAAACGCUCUUGACCAUCACAAGCAUCCCAUGGCUGAGGAGAAAGGACUUUUUAUCCAUUUGGAAGCGUAGAAAUUGGUCAGGAAACAACCACAAGUGUUACCCCAAAGGAAGGAAACUUCGAUGCAGAAUAUCAUCGAGUGAACACCUUGACGGAUCCCGCAGUGUUCCUCCCUCUUCAAAUACGUCUACAAAUGGAAUUCUAACGAGGGAAGAGACCGUCUCCAGAAAGCAGUUAAGGAAGAAUUAGGCGAAGGACAGCGUUGGUGAGAGAAC